rnacentral:rRNA from 1 species
UACGGGGGGGGCAAGCGUUGUUCGGAAUUACUGGGCGUAAAGGGCUCGUAGGCGGCCAACUAAGUCGGACGUGAAAUCCCUCGGCUUAACCGGGGAACUGCAUCCGAUACUGGAAGGCUCGAGUUUGGGAGAGGGAUGCGGAAUUCCAGGUGUAGCGGUGAAAUGCGUAGAUAUCUGGAGGAACACCGGUGGCGAAGGCGGCAUCCUGGACCGACACUGACACUGAGGAGCGAAAGCCAGGGGAGCAAACGGG